CAUGAUAUCACGGGGGGCAGGAACCACCAAAGUGCGCCGCGUUUCGACGUGGACGCCCUUUGACCUGCCCUGUCUGAAUAUUCUACCCAUGAUUUUGCGUACCAUUUGUUUCCUUGGUGGGCUUGCCCGCCAAAAGGACACUAUACAACCUUUUGUAGUAGCAGUAUCUUCAGUAAAAACAAAUAUUA
rnacentral:misc_RNA from 1 species